GCCUAUUCUCCAGCUCAGCUGGCUAGAGCGUGGUGCUGAUAACACCAAGGUUGCAGGUUCAAUCCCAAUGUGGGACA